rnacentral:lncRNA from 1 species
CAGAGAUGAAGGGAGGAGAUAGAUACAAGAGAAUAGACAGGAAGUAUUAUAUGGGUUGACCCAGAAACUGAGAGUGAUUCAGUAUUACAGUGCAAGUCUAGAGUGACAGAGUACUUUCCUCCCCUCCACUGCAAGGCUUUUCCCUUCCUCGGGUACUCUGGUUAUCCAUCUCUCCACUUCUGUCUUUCAUAGUGGCUCCACUGGUUGAUAUCUUUUCCCUCGUGUGUGUGUGUGUGUGUGUGUGUGUGUGUGUGUGUGUGUGUGUGUGUGUGUGUGUGUGUGUGUGUGUGUGUGUGUGUGUGUGUGUGUGUGUGUGUGUGUGUGCGUGUGCGUGUGCGUGUGCGCUUUCGGUUGUUUGUGUGUGUGUACUUGUUUUCUGUUCAGGGUCAAUGGAAGAUGAGGGUCACACCAAGUCAAACUCUUCCAGCUCAUCGUCUCUGCACAGGCAUAUGGACAGCCAUCACACUCAGAGGGGUCAUCUCAACUUCUCGCCCUUCGGUGCGGGGGCUGCACUCUAAGGCAUGGCGGGCGCGGGAGCACCCCUCACAUUAGGGACGGGGUGAUCCAGCAUCUGCGUGGAUGUGGGGGGGACGAGUGCGCCACCCUGGGGGAGUUACUCCGCUGGCGCAGGGCGCUGUGUGAGGGGCGGGCCGACUGGAGGCACCAACGGGAUGUCAACAGAACACCACAAACCCCACCCACCACACUGGUCAGGGCUAAUAGGAAGUCUUCUCCAUAGUGGGAGGAUGUCCAACCUGAAAUUCCCACUCUUGUCUGCCUCCUGCCACGCCCUCCUGCCCAUGUCUGCCACCCCAUUCGGCAAAGGACAGGUCUGAGAGAGAGGCAUUUCAUUGGCUAGGACCGCCCAACCCACAAGAGCAUUAACAGAUAAAGGAGGGAGAAAGGGAAUAGAGCAGCAAUCAGGAUCCAUUUCUCUCUCUCUCUCUCUCUCUCUCUCUCUCUCUCUCUCUCUCUCUCUCUCUCUCUCUCUCUCUCUCUCUCUCUCUCUCUCUCUCUCUAACAAGCUGGAUUUAGGCUAACAGAGGAGAGGACUGUACAUACAAUAGUUGCUAUGUGGAAUGAGGUUUGCCUAUGUGUUUUCUGUCUGUAGUAAAUCUGGUGCACGUUCUCUCUCUAUCAAAGCCUACCAUGCUGUUACUGCUUACGCAACAUCUCCCAGCCCAAACCCCAAAACAUGGUGCUGAUGUCACUCUGUGUGAUGUCAUAUGUGUCAGGUGUGUGAUGCACACUAGGAUGAAGCUGCCCCGGUCUAGACACUGAUCCAGGGUCUGUUUUUGUCUUUCCCCUCUGACGCUCAUGGGGAAGGUAAGUUGAUCCUAGAUCUGUGCCUAUGGGCACAACAGAACAUGUGUGUACCCUCCCCUCCAGACAUGUCUGAAGUUUACAAGCGAGCCAAGGCCUUUAAACAUCUCCUCUGUUGAACCUCACUGCUCUGGCUUACGGACCAGUUAUCAUCUCUAGGACCAGGAGGUUUUCCUGACCAUGUGAUCUGACCAGGGAAAACUCCUGUCUCUAGUCUUCUGGACUCCUUCAGGUAUCAGCUACCGCUUUAGCCUCAUGCUACAAGGUGCUUUAGGUGCUUCUGUAACCCUGGCAACAAUAGCUCAGUGUUCAGGGGUCAGGGAAACCUCAGCGAUAUCCCAUGGUGCACUUGUUUCAUCCCCAGCUAGCCAACGGCCUUUUGCUUUAGAGCAAACUGAACAGAACAUCCACAACAGUAAAAAAACAAAACACUGUACAGAUAUUACUGACUAGGCAAGACAAUAGCAGAGCUGUAUUUUACAACGAUGGCCAUAGUAGCUAGUUCAUGUAGCUAGAUCACCUGUGAUCAGACUGUAUCAAUGUCCUGUAAGGUUUUUACUGGGCUUAGUGCCAUACAACGUGACUCUAGGCCAGUCAACCUCAGCUAUGGCUGAUGUAUUUUACUGAUGUGUUUGUGUAGAGCACACAAACAGACUGAAUAAAGAACAGUGUAGAUGACCAACGCACAACUAUCUGUCGCAGUCCCUCAAUUAACUACUUAUCUAGAUUUAUUCUACAAACAUCUCAGAGAAAUAAGCUCUAAACCACAAUGGUACUUUCUUCAUAUUAGCGUCUCAUUUGAUAUGUUCUAUCUUGUGUAAAUCAAUGUUAGGAGCCUGUACACUUUUCUGUACAAUUCAAGGAUGCAACUGGAGCACAACAGAGUUCUCAUGCAGUGGCGGUUCUAGAUCAUUUCAACUGGGGGGGGCCAAGCUGGGGCCAGUUGUACUGUUAGAGAGGCCAGUUACAUUAGACGUUAUUGUUGUCAUAUCGUUUUCUUCACUGCAUUGCAGGCAUUAGCAGGCAAAAGACCAUAUUCAUAAUCAUCAUCGUUGCCACUGUCUACUAACGGAUGUAAAAAAAAGAAUGAUAUCAAAAAUGUGUAAAAAUUAUUUCAUACUCCACAUUUAGGGGGGCCACAAGGGGGUCCAAAAUUGUUGUCACAGGGGCAUUGACCCCCCCCCCCCCCCGCCAGAACAACUAGUGUUCUCAUGUAAAGCUAUCCCAUCCUCCUCAAUCACUCCCUUUAUUUCCCUCCCAAACCCUGCAAUAUCCCCAACACCCCCUCCAAGAUGCUGUAGGGGUCAGAGGGCAUUGCCAGGGUAACCUCCCUGUAAAUAAUGGCCUAUGUUUAAUUGUCAAAUGUUUUAAUUUACUAUAGCAGAAUAGCACAGAAAUGGGAAGAUGGAAAGGGAACUGGAGAAUUGUCUAUAUGGCAGAUGGAGAAUUAUAUGAAUGUCUUGGGUUUAAUGCAAUGACUGAGGCAAAGAGAAGAGGUUUAUUUUAUAAUGUGAACACCUUUUUUGCGGAAUGAUUGUCUACUACUAUGAAACUUCUUUAUACUGUAUUUAUUUAGUUUGUUUGUUUGUUUCCCUGCAACACCAUUGUAAGACAAUAUUCCAGUGGAGAAAGACUGAUGUUUCCAUCAUUUGUCUGAUGGUUGUUUGGAUGUUAAAUUGCACAAUAUUGAUGUGUGGUGUGGUGUCCACAUCGUAAAGGAGUAGCUAGAAGUUGCCCCUAACCACUGAUAUAUGAUCAGAUAUUUUAACAUCCCCCUAAUGGUUACGGUUAUGAUUUGGAAGGGUAAUCUAACCAUGGUAAUUGGAUGGGUGUGCCUCUGCAAGCCGUUUGAUCUUAGAAGAUUGGUUUGACUGUAAAAGCCAGGAAGUAUCAAUAGCUCUGAUUGAUUUCUCAUUUACACUGAUCACCCUUCAACAGUCUGAUUGAUCCUGAAUUAGAAAUUAGCAGUGCCAUCACUAGCGCGUCCCUGGUUGUUGAUUGAGCCGUGUGUGUGCGUGUGAGUGUGUGUGUGUAUGUGAUAAGAAACACUACAUUUUCUACAGAAAUUGGGCAAAGACCACAUCAAACAUUGACUAGGAGUGAGCCACUUAACCAGACCUUCUGAACACCCAAGCUCUGCUAACGACAAUGGAAUACAGUAUUUCAAAGUGAUAGUGUUAAGAUACCAUGUCUAUAUGUGAUUGGACGAUGCUUUAGGAUUGGAACGGAGGUGAAACAACACGUCUGGAUAGAACAAUACAGUUGGUCAUACUGUAGUUCUACAUCAUGUACAUAUGACUAUUGGACAGAGCUGCCACAGUGCACACAGUAUACACUACUUACAUUGAGACAGUACCAGUCAAUACCAGUAUCCUACACACAAAAUAAAUCACUUCAUAUAGGUAGGUGUACCACUCCUACUCCGAUGUGCUGAGGUCCACCACUAAACAGGGUUAAGGUUCGUCCUGUUUGUAUUGUGUCUAUUUAUCCCAUACUACUAUGAAUGAUUUAGUAAAGCAAUGAAAACAUGAUGAGGAUGAAGAGGUAUGGAUACUUUUUUAAGGCAUUUUAGACAGGAUGUUAGUUCUUUGUCUCUCUGCAUGAUCUGACCACUCAUCAUUUCCUCUUACCCACAUGCACGGCAGUUAACGCUUGAUAGUUGAAUAUCCUUUUACCCUUUACACUGUGAAUCACUGCACUGUCUCACACUGCCAUGUCACACGUACAUUUCACACUGCCAUUUCACACUGUCAUUUAAGACUGCCAUGUCUCCUAUGUGCUUGUCACCCUACGAUGUUUCCCCUUCCAAAGGAAACCUUAAAAUACAGUAAAAGCUACACACAUAUGUCCCCCAACCCCGAUCCCCAAUGUGUUUUCUGACUUCACAACUGACCUAAACAACUAGAUACUGCCAUUUUUCAUUCAUAGUCAGGUCUCCCUUUGUCAUGAGGUUCCUAGACCAGAUGUCUGGUGCUAAAGCCAGUGCAGAAGGGGCAUUUUACUGUUCUCAGUCCAUGUUCAGUAUUCCAAUGACACACUGUAUAUUUUAGCACAUAGGCAUAUCACAGCCUUGUUUUCAUAGUUGUUGUUUUCUUCCCCCUCUUUUUGUCAGACAUACAGUAUAUUUUACCUGUAUACAUUGUGUUUGUUGAAAAUCAGAAUUAUAUAUGCGUUGUUUCAUGUUUUGUUUCCAAUGUUUUAUAAAUGCCUGUACAGCAAUAAAGCACAAUUGUGCCCAUUCCCUUGUCCUCUAUAUCUCUCUGUGUGUGUGUGUGUGUGUGUGUGUGUGUGUGUGCGUGUCAAAGGACAAAUAGGGGGUGUGUGGUGUGAAAUGGAAAUGUGUUUUUGUUGCAUAUCCCACUCCCAAUGAGACACCCUCGGAGAGUGUGUUCAAGGCCAGGGAUCAGCCAUUAUUGACAGCGACCCUGGAGCA